rnacentral:lncRNA from 1 species
CUCAUUGCCAUUGAGGGACUAGGCCCGUCCCUAAUUGGCAACACCAUUAGAAUGUUAAAAUGUGUUGCUUUUAAUUAGUGUUUCACUGAGUGUAUUUUUACGUAGUUUAUAGAAUAUGAGAAUUUUAAAUUUUACAUUGUUUUCUUAUGGCACUUUACUAACAGGGACUCGUAGAUUUGAGAAUUUUUUGGUCUUCAAAUAAAAGUUAUAGCUUGAUAAGAAUGAAACAGAUUUCGAAAAGUAGUUUGAUCGUUAAAGUGAUUGAUCACUGCCGGCUGUAUGAUUUAUCGGUUUAAUGAACCGCUAAAUCGAACGAUUUGACAUGUUUAUAUAUAUGUAAUCAGUAUACCAACAACAUGACAUGGAUGUUUAUCUAUAAUCAGAUACGUUCAGAGACUCUGGGGUUAUCUACAGUCAAAAGUUAUUUAAGUCUCAACCAACAUCCCAUCAAUCUUAUUUUUAUAGUUCACUAAACAUGAUUUAUCUACUUUUUAAUAAUCAAAAAAUUUUAGCCAGAAAUCCAUAAUCCUUAUCAUCCGAAAACCGCAACUUAUAAUAUCAAUUAUGGACUCCGAAUAUGUCCAAGAACCAUUUGAUUAAUUGAUUCUUUUUUUUUUGAGAAAUUGAUUAAUUAAUUCUUUAACCUUUUUUAAUGACUAUGAAGUCUGGGCUCC